AACGAACGCUGGCGGCAUGCCUAACACAUGCAAGUCGAACGAGACCUUCGGGUCUAGUGGCGCACGGGUGCGUAACGCGUGGGAACCUGCCCUUAGGUUCGGAAUAACUCCCCGAAAGGGGUGCUAAUACCGCAUAAUGUCUUCGGACCAAAGAUUUCUCGCCUUUGGAUGGGCCCGCGUUGGAUUAGCUAGUUGGUAGGGUAAAAGCCUACCAAGGCGACGAUCCAUAGCUGGUCUGAGAGGAUGAUCAGCCACACUGGGACUGAGACACGGCCCAGACUCCUACGGGAGGCAGCAGUGGGGAAUAUUGGACAAUGGGCGAAAGCCUGAUCCAGCAAUGCCGCGUGAGUGAUGAAGGCCUUAGGGUUGUAAAGCUCUUUUACCCGGGAUGAUAAUGACAGUACCGGGAGAAGAAGCUCCGGCUAACUCCGUG
rnacentral:rRNA from 1 species